rnacentral:rRNA from 1 species
UUUAAAUUGAGAGUUUGAUCCUGGCUCAGGAUGAACGCUGGUGGCGUGCCUAAUACAUGCAAGUCGUACGCUAGCCGCUGAAUUGAUCCUUCGGGUGAAGUGAGGCAAUGACUAGAGUGGCGAACUGGUGAGUAACACGUAAGAAACCUGCCCUUUAGUGGGGGAUAACAUUUGGAAACAGAUGCUAAUACCGCGUAACAAC